rnacentral:rRNA from 1 species
UGGGGAAUUUUGGACAAUGGGCGCAAGCCUGAUCCAGCCAUUCCGCGUGCAGGACGAAGGCCUUCGGGUUGUAAACUGCUUUUGUACGGAACGAAAAGGCUCUGGCUAAUACCUGGGGCUCAUGACGGUACCGUAAGAAUAAGCACCGGCUAACUACGUGCCAGCAGCCGCGGUAAUACGUAGGGUGCAAGCGUUAAUCGGAAUUACUGGGCGUAAAGCGUGCGCAGGCGGUUAUGUAAGACAGAGGUGAAAUCCCCGGGCUCAACCUGGGAACUGCCUUUGUGACUGCAUAGCUGGAGUACGGCAGAGGGGGAUGGAAUUCCGCGUGUAGCAGUGAAAUGCGUAGAUAUGCGGAGGAACACCGAUGGCGAAGGCAAUCCCCUGGGCCUGUACUGACGCUCAUGCACGAAAGCGCGGGGAGCAAACA